rnacentral:rRNA from 1 species
GUGAGACAAGCUAUGAAGGGCACAUGGUGGAUGCCUUGGCAUCAAGAGCCGAUGAAGGACGUAGGAGCCUGCGAUAAGCCCUGGGGAGUUGGCAACCGAGCUGUGAUCCGGGGGUGUCCGAAUGGGGGAACCCAGCUGGAGUCAUGUCCAGUUACCCGCGCCUGAAUAUAUAGGGUGUGUGGAGGGAACGUGGGGAAGUGAAACAUCUCAGUACCCACAGGAAGAGAAAACAAAAGUGAUUCCGAGAGUAGUGGCGAGCGAAAUCGGAUGAGGCUAAACCAUGCACGUGUGAUACCCGGCAGGGGUUGCGUGUGUGGGGUUGUGGGACCGCUUGUCUAGUUCUGCCGGACUGGAAGACAGUAAGAAAAGUUGGUUGAAGUCGAAGUCGGUUGGAAAGCCGCGCCGUAGAGGGUGAUAGCCCCGUAUGCGUAAGGCCUUCUCUGUUGAGCGGGAUCCCAAGUAACACGGAACUCCUGAAAUUCCGUGUGAAUCUGGCAGGACCACCUGUUAAGCCUAAAUACUCCUUGAUGACCGAUAGCGGACAAGUACCGUGAGGGAAAGGUGAAAAGUACCCCUGGCGGGGAGUGAAAUAGUACCUGAAACCGUGUGCCUACAAUCCGUCGGAGCCUUUAGGGGUGACGGCGUGCCUUUUGAAGAAUGAGCCUGCGAGUUAGCGUUGUGUUGCGAGGUUAACCCGUGUGGGGUAGCCGUAGCGAAAGCGAGUCCGAAUAGGGCGUUUGAGUAGCACGAUCUAGACCCGAAGCGAAGUGAUCUAUCCAUGGGCAGGUUGAAGCGCGGGUAAGACCGCGUGGAGGACCGAACCCACUUAGGUUGAAAACUGAGGGGAUGACCUGUGGAUAGGGGUGAAAGGCCAAUCAAACUUCGUGAUAGCUGGUUCUCCCCGAAAUGCAUUUAGGUGCAGCGUUGCGUGUUUCUUGCCGGAGGUAGAGCACUGGAUAGCCGAUGGGCCCGACCAGGUUACUGACGUUAGCCAAACUCCGAAUGCCGGUAAGUGAGAGCGCAGCAGUGAGACUGCGGGGGAUAAGCUCCGUAGUCGAGAGGGAAACAGCCCAGACCAUCAGCUAAGGCCCCUAAGCGGUGACUAAGUGGAAAAGGAUGUGGAGUCGCAGUGACAACCAGGAGGUUGGCUUGGAAGCAGCCACCCUUGAAAGAGUGCGUAAUAGCUCACUGGUCAAGUGAUUCCGCGCCGACAAUGUAGCGGGGCUCAAGUCAUCCGCCGAAGCUAUGGCAUUCACAUAUUAACCUCAGCCUUCGUGGUUCAGGGGUGUGGAUGGGUAGGGGAGCGUCGUGUCGCGAGUGAAGCUGCGGAG